UAGUCGUGACUGAGAGGUCGAUCGACCACAUUGGGUCUGAAAAAACCCCAAUGCGUUUUAGUACAGCAGUGAGGAAUAUUGGUCAAUGGCCGAAAGGCUGAACCAGUAACUUGGAAGAAUGAAAAAAUGUAUUAAAAUAAUACAUUAACGAUUUACUCGUAUAAAGUUCUAAAUAGGAUAAUGAUAAUGACAAUUUCCUAUUUAUAAGUCUUGACCAAAUUACGUGCCAGCAGUCGCGGUAAUACGUAAAAGACUAGUGUUAGUCAUCUUUAUUAGGUUUAAAGGGUACCUAGACGGUAAAUUAAACUCUAAAUGAGUACUUUUUUACUAGAGUUUUAUAAGAGAAGGAAGAAUUUCUGGAGUAGUGAUAGAAUAUUAUACCAGAAGGACUGAUAACGGCGAAGGCGUCCUUCUAUGUAAAAACUGACGUUGAGGGACGAAGGCUUGGGUAGCAAUAAGGAUUAGAUACCCUAGUAGUCCAAGCAGAAAAUGAUGAAUGUCAUAGACUAGAAAAUAUAUUUAGUCUAUAAAUGAAAGUGUAAGCAUUCCACCUCAAGAGUAAUA
rnacentral:rRNA from 1 species